rnacentral:piRNA from 1 species
UUCAUGUCUUAUGUUCUGUGGUAUGAAAUC